UUUCCAGUAUUUAAAGUUGUUGUCAAGAUGCUGCAUUAAAUCAGGCAGGUCUACAAAGGCUGGAGAGAAAGAUGGGAAUGUGGUAUCAUUUUACAGCCUCGCCUAACAGGUUCAGGCUUUCUGCUGAGAGCAUUUUAGAGAGUGACAGACAGGAGCAGGCAUCUGUGUGAGGCUAAGCAGACCUGGGCAAAUACACCCAGCAACUUCAACGAGCCAUGGCUGACUGAAGUGAGACCCUGUCCUCCCUGCCAGCACCUCCUCUAUGGCCACCUGCUGAGCUGGUAACUUUAGCCACCUUCUGUUGUAUUGGCCAAUCUGCUUAAUUGCCAUUCAACCAACACCUCUGGGCCUGGGGUAUCAGAAAGCAAAAUGUCGUGUGCCCUCCACCUUAUGGCCUGGCCCUGUGUGCUCGCUCUCCCUCCAUGCGUGCUUCACAUACACCGGCAUCUCCUUCCACCUGCAGCCUGGAGACGCAGGCAUCUGGUCUCAGUCCCAGAAGCAGUGAGCUGCAGAGCUGGCAGUUUCCCCCAAAGCUGCAGCUAUCUCCACUGCUUCAGCCCUUCUCCCUAGCCACAUAACCGCAGUUCUACGGCCUCUUUGAGACACGGGUUUAUGUCCUGACUGGAUCUGGACAUUUAUCAGCCCCGCAGCCCCUCCCCCAGGGCGCAGCCCUCAGAGUGAAGAUGCCCAUGGAGUAUCAGUGGAUCCUGUUCUCUGGCUUAUUUGACAGGCUCCUGGGCCCCACCUGAAGUUAAAGAUGCAGUUCCCCAUCAGUUAAAGGAAAAUGUGCUAUUUUAAGGAAGAUUUCUUACCGUCCCAAGCAUCAAACAUGUCUGUGAUGAAGUAAUCAAUGAAAGAGAUUUGGGAUUUGGGGAUGCUGCAGGUAUUUCUGUCAAAAACUGGCAUCACCACAGGUAAGUCCUGCUGCUUCUCCUCAUCAGUCUGCAAAGCGGAAAACGUCAUGAUCAGGAGACCCCAGCACCUGGUUCCAUUCCACCUAGGGGUAGCCCCUCCCCCAGGCAGAGCUGCUCCUGGCAGCCUAAGGUGGCUUGUCUUGCCACCCCACCCAGCCAAACCAUGUUUCAUAGCAGAUACCCAGUUCUCAGAAUGUGGACCACUCCAUGUCAGGGGGCUCUGAGGACACCUCGACUGAAGCCAAACUGAAUAUUGCAAAGCCGCCCUGCAGAAGCUCCUCAGGGAAAGGCCUCGUGGCUGCUUCUCAUCUCAGGCCGAAUUACUUAUCUGAAAAGGUUCUGAACACCCUUGAGAUCCUGGAAGUUAAAAACAACAAACCUCUGCGGUGAGUUUUUAUAUACUUUAGUCAAAUCAUCUAUCUCUUCAGGAUUCCAGAAAGACUUGCAAAACAUUGAAAACAUAAUUAAGAACCUGAGGAAAAAGGCAGGCGUCCUGUUCUUUCUUUGAUAAGGUCUCAUUUUGACUCAACGGUGCUGGAGAAAGGGUGAGGAAGGCCCCUGGGGCCGGAAUGAGGCUAGAGUCGUGCAGGCAUGCUCUAGAGGCCCCUGUGGACGUGCAACUGGAAGCCCCGCACGAUCCUGGCCUGCUGUGGCAGGGUGCCUGUGCUGGGAGUCAGGUCAAAGGGUGGGGCAGGAUGAGCGGCAGAGUGAACACAGGUGGAGUGAGGUGGGAGUGGGCUGUGGGGAACAGCUCUUCUAAAUGGGACCCUAGUGCAUGCGUGGGGCCAGGUGAAAGGAUGGUGACUGCUAUGCUGACCACCACCCUUUCUCCCCAAUGCUGGGGCUGGAGGGGGUGGAGCCAACCCUCUGGGGUCACUCUGGGAGAGCCUGAGGUGUUGGGCCAGGUGUGGUAAGAACGAUGGGAGAAGGCUGGCUGAGCGCACAGAAGAAUGACCACUAAAGUCUCAUCCCACUGUUGGCCAUUCACAAGAUGUGUCUUCUAUACUCAGCUGUACUUCCACCUCCCAAAUGGCCAGCAGAGCUCACCUCAUCAGAGCCAGGCUUCUGGCGACUGGCAGAACCCACUUGCAGCUCCUCCCCGUAGCCCUUGCUCCACAGGGCCAAGAAUAUUCCCAUGCUUGCAUUCAUAGGCCCUCCAGGGAAUGCUGUGCCAGGCCAGAAAGUUCUCUCAUUGCAGCAUCUCUCUACCCUACCGCACCUCUACAGAACCAGCUUCAGCACUUGCACGGGGCUUCCUCAAGUCACUGACUCCACUGCCUUUCUUCUGUGCGCUCAGCUACCCUUCCCCAUCUUCCCUACUACACCGGGCCCCACACCUCCGGCUCUCCCAGAGUGACCCCCCAGAGGGCUGGCUCUACCAGUUGUGCAUCUUGCCCUGUGCACAAAACUCACUCCAGCUCUCCAUAUGGGCUCUCCCCUUGAGGACAGCAGGCAAACCUCUGGAGGUUUUCUUAGGGUGGCACCGUACCUAGCACAGUGCCCAGAGGUACGUUUAUGCUAGGUAAGUGUUCAUGGUGCUGGCUCCAAGUGCCAAGAAAGAGGUCUGUGCUCCCUGUUUUCAGGUGGACAGUGCUAGACUGUGGGACUGGGCAAAAGCCAAAAGUAAGAGCUCCUGCUGUCCUAGAUGGUUCAGAAGAUGAAAUUCAUGUGCUUUGGUAAGAGGAAGAGUGGGGAAUGCUGGCUCAGCAGCCACUGGCUGAUGAAGGCCCUGCUGGUGGCCACAGGCUGGCGGCCCUAGCCCUGGUGCUGUCUCAGAAGAGCGCAGUCAGCCUUACAUGAGUCUCUGCCGUGGUACAUAUGGGAAGAGGUGGGGGCGCAGGGAGGGCUGUGAGUUCACAGCCCAUUGGCCUGUCCAGCUCAAACAGCAGUGCCCUGAAUGGGGAGCACUCCUGAUGUGCCCUCCCUUGGCCACAUUAGACCCUAAAUCAGCCCUCCCUGGGCAACCAUGGCAAAGGCUCAGUCAGCUCAGCCACUCAUGCAUCCAGAGGCUUUUCUGUCUCUUUGCUCUCAGGGCCUGCCCAAAGCAGCUGGCUGGUUGAAGGUCACUGAAGACCCUCAUGCUCAGAUUUCUUCUCUUUGGCCCAAUGUGACAAGUGCAUGGAGCUUCCAGGGACCCAGUUACCUCACGGAGACCACUGUUUGCUAAGGAGAACAGUUAAACCAUGGCCCAGGCACU